ensembl:snoRNA
AGCACUUCUGUGUGCUUUUGUUCAACUGUUAGACAUAAGCAUGAAAGACAGGUGCAAAAAUAAAUCCUGUAUUGCAAUCCAGAACCCACUGUUCAGUAGGAGUUUUGACACAUACAGAAAGGAAUAUG